rnacentral:rRNA from 1 species
GAUGAACGCUAGCGGCAGGCUUAAUACAUGCAAGUCGAGGGGCAGCAGGUCUGUAGCAAUACAGAUGCUGGCGACCGGCAAACGGGUGCGGAACACGUACUGUACCUUCCUUUAAGUGGGGAAUAGCCCAGGGAAACUUGGAUUAAUACCCCGUAAUAUAAUGAGGUGGCAUCACCUUAUUAUUAUAGCUCCGGCGCUUGAAGAUGGCAGUGCGGCUGAUUAGGUAGUUGGCGGGGUAACGGCCCACCAAGCCUGCGAUCAGUAACUGGUGUGAGAGCACGACCAGUCACACGGGCACUGAGACACGGGCCCGACUCCUACGGGAGGCAGCAGUAAGGAAUAUUGGGCAAUGGACGCAAGUCUGACCCAGCCAUGCCGCGUGGAGGAUGAAGGUCCUCUGGAUUGUAAACUUCUUUUAUAUGGGACGAAAAAGGGUCUUUCUAGAUCAACUGACGGUACCAUAUGAAUAAGCACCGGCUAACUCCGUGCCAGCAGCCGCAGUAACAC